AAUUUUUUAAAUGAGAGGGUGAAACUGUGACCAUUGGAUUAGUUAGAUGGUUGUGAUUAAAAGAGAGGUUUAAUGAGUCACAUGACUCUCUUUUCAUCAAUUUCACGCGCGUUGAUUUCUCUCACCUCACGCGAUUUCUGAAAGUUCUCCUUUCUUCAUCGUUUCAGCACCAUUCUUUCUUUAGUCAUUGUUCUACUCCAAAAACGGUCAUUCCGACGAUAUCUCCACAACCACUUCUCAAUUCCGACGAUAUCUCGACAGCCACUUCUCAAUUUCGGUUAUUAACAGGUUCAAUUUUCAGUGAAUAAGGUGAUGGCAAUGUGUGAAAUGGUCAAGCAUGGAUGCUUCUCAAGGAAAUUUAUAUGCUAGACAACAAACAGAGAAUAAGAACUUGAAGAAUAAGAAAAAAUAGAUUUUAUGUGCUGCUGUGUUUGACAGCAGUCCUGUGCAGAGUUGCAGUUUUUCCGUGAUGCCACUGCAGUUGUGAUUUGGUGUUGUGUUUGGGAGGCUUGCUAGCGUGUUUCGGAGUUGCUUCUGGCUGGCUUUUAUUGCUAUUUUGGUUUCUAGCAGGUUUCCAGGGUUUUUUUUGUUGAGUUUUGAUUUUGGUGGAGAGGCACCCUUUGUUUUAAGGCCCUCCUUAAUUGUACUCUUUUUGCAACAUCAAAUGUAAUUUCUAUUUUGUGUA